rnacentral:hammerhead_ribozyme from 1 species
AUCCAGUGACGAGUCCCAAAUAGGACGAAAUGCACUUUGUCCCGGAU